rnacentral:lncRNA from 1 species
AAUCCAUUCUACCAGCAAGUCAUUACAUUUCUUUGUACCUCAGUUUCUUCAUCUGUAAAACAGGGCUAAUAAUAUUAACUACUUCACAGAGUUCUUGUGAGAAUUUUUUUGAGACAGGGUCUUGCUCUGACACCCAGGCUUGAAAGGUCAGUGAAUUAGCAGGAGAUUUCUUAGCAGAUUGUUCCAAAAAAAGUAAGAAACUACUAUGAUUUAAUAUAAAGAAAAUUAAACUAGGAAUCCUAACAAUGACUUGGGUUUCCAUCUGAAUCUACCACUAGCUGCUUAUGUAACCUUGGCCUAGCUAAUCUAGGCCUCUAAGUCCCCAGCUAUAAAACAGAAAUACCUUGUCUUUACAUAACUCAAAGCACUGUUGUCUGGAUAACAAAGGUGAAAAACCUUUCCAUAAAACUUUUUACAAAUGUAAAAAGAAAUCCAUGGGCAAAGUAUUAAAUCGGGUAUUGUACAGCAAUAUUUAAAAUGGUCUAAGACAUACAUCUGUCAGCUUUUGAAAAUUUAUUUUCUCAUCCUAUUCACCUUUAUACCUAAAAAAUAAGUAGACUAAGAUAACUUUGGAAUACAUUAUACUGACUGGCUUAAGCAUAUAAGUGGUUUACUUGAUGCUA